rnacentral:rRNA from 1 species
AACGAACGCUGGCGGCGUGCCUAACACAUGCAAGUCGAGCGCGAAAGUUCCUUCGGGAGCGAGUAGAGCGGCGGACGGGUGAGUAAUACAUAGGUAAUCUACCUUCGAGCUUGGGAUAACCCCGCGAAAGUGGGGCUAAUACCGGAUAAGACCACGUAAUUAUUUUACGGGGUAAAAGGUGGCUUAUUUUUUAAAUGAGCUAUCACUUGAGGAUGAGCCUGUGGCCUAUCAGCUAGUUGGCGGGGUAAGAGCCCACCAAGGCUAUGACGGGUAGCGGGCCUGAGAGGACGACCAGCCACACUGGGACUGAGACACGGCCCAGACUCCUACGGGAGGCAGCAGUGGGGAAUAUUGGGCAAUGGGCGAAAGCCUGACCCAGCGACGCCGCGUGGGCGAUGAAGGCCUUCGGGUUGUAAGGCCCUGUCAUGCGGAAAGAACGACCCCGAGACGCAUACUCUCAGGGAGUGACGGUACCGCAGGAGGAAGCACCGGCUAACUCCGUGCCAGCCGCCGCAGUAA